GACGAACGCUGGCGGCGUGCUUAACACAUGCAAGUCGAGCGGGGAGAUUGCCUUCGGGUGAUCUUCUAGCGGCGGACGGGUGAGUAACGCGUGAGCAACCUUUCCUCUACUGGGGAAUAACACCGGGAAACUGGUACUAAUACCGCAUGAGACCACAGAGUCGCAUGGCUUAGGGGUCAAAGAUUUAUUGGUAGAGGGUGGGCUCGCGUCUGAUUAGGUAGUUGGUGAGGUAACGGCUCACCAAGGCGACGAUCAGUAGCCGGUCUGAGAGGAUGAACGGCCACAUUGGGACUGAGAUACGGCCCAGACUCCUACGGGAGGCAGCAGUGGGGAAUAUUGGGCAAUGGGCGAAAGCCUGACCCAGCAACGCCGCGUGAAGGAAGAAGGCCUUCGGGUUGUAAACUUCUUUACCUAGGUACGAAGAACGUGACGGUACCUGGAGAAAAAGCAAACGGCUAACUACGUAG
rnacentral:rRNA from 1 species